rnacentral:rRNA from 1 species
AUGGCGGCGGGCGGAUUUGGCGUGGCAGCGGUUGAGUCAAGGCAGGGCGUCGGUGGCGGGCUCCGGUGGCCUGGGCCGGCCCCUGGCUUGGCGCUGCAGUGGUGCGGGUCUCGGGCGACAAAGAUCUGUGGGCGGCCGCCCCUGCCCUGGCUUCGGGCUGGUGGGGGUGGCGGCGCAGUGGUGGUGGCCGGCGGGGCGUGUUGGUCGAGUCUGUGUCAGAACCCUCCUGGUCUGGCACUCGGACGUCGGCAGACGGUGCGAGGAGGCAUCUCCGGUGAGCUUCCAUGGCUGCAGCUGCGGGUUGAUUUGGUCUCCCUCGUCGGCGGGCUCACGGUUGCCGAUGGCCUCGCGGAGAUGUGUGUCAGCUACCAUGGUGGGUCGACAUGGGGGUGCCCGCGGGGGAGCUUUGUAGGAGGGAUAGGUGGCCUCGAUGCGGUCGCGCCACCUGUCGCCGGCACGGUUUGCCGGUCCGGAUGCGUCCGCUCCUCCUUCUCCCCCUUUCCCCAUGUUCGGUGGGGAGCUUGGUUGGAGGGAUGGGUGGCCUCGAUGCGGUCGCGUCACCUGUCGCCGGCAUGGUUUGCCGGUCCGGAUUUGUCCGCUCCCCUUUCUCCCCCUUUCCUCGGCCGUGGGCGGGUUGGCACAGGUUUUCCAGCGGAGCGUCUGCGGGUGGUUCUGUCGGUCGAGGGCCAUCGGUUGGUCCAAAGUUGGGGCCUUUGUGUAGGUCUCGGGGUUGUCUGGUUGCAGGGCGGCGGCUCUGGCGGCGGGAGGCGCGACGUUCGUGGGUGGAGCGUGCGUCUCAGGUGCAGGCAGGCAAACAUGGCCGCGUGGGUGGCGUGGUUGUGGGCGGUUGACGGAGUUAAGGUUCAUCGGUGGGGUGUGAGUGCCGGGGUACACCACUUGUCCAGUCCUUUGACUGGCCGACGGUGGCGGUGGCCGUUGCCGCCGUAUCCUUCCUGA